CCUGGCUUAGGAUGAACGCUAGCGACAGGCUUAACACAUGCAAGUCGAGGGGUAACAGGGUAGCAAUACCGCUGACGACCGGCGCACGGGUGAGUAACGCGUAUGCAACCUGCCUAUAACUGGGGAAUAGCUCCCUGAAAGGGGGAAUUAACACCGCAUAACACUAUUGAUUCGCAUGGAUUAGUAGUUAAAUGUAGCGAUACAGGUUAUAGAUGGGCAUGCGUGACAUUAGCUAGUUGGUGAGGUAACGGCUCACCAAGGCUACGAUGUCUAGGGGUUCUGAGAGGAAGGUCCCCCCACACUGGUACUGAGACACGGACCAGACUCCUACGGGAGGCAGCAGUGAGGAAUAUUGGUCAAUGGGCGCAAGCCUGAACCAGCCAUGUCGCGUGCAGGAAGAACCUGCCCUAUGGGUUGUAAACUGCUUUUAUAGUAGAAGAAACACAUCUACGCGUAGAUGUCUGCCAGUAUACUAUGAAUAAGCAUCGGCUAACUCCGUGCCAGCCGCCGC
rnacentral:rRNA from 1 species